UACGUAGGGUGCAAGCGUUGUCCGGAAUUAUUGGGCGUAAAGAGCUUGUAGGCGGUUUGUCGCGUCUGCUGUGAAAUUUCGGGGCUCAACCCCGAACCUUGCAGUGGGUACGGGCAGACUAGAGUGUGGUAGGGGAGACUGGAAUUCCUGGUGUAGCGGUGAAAUGCGCAGAUAUCAGGAGGAACACCGAUGGCGAAGGC
rnacentral:rRNA from 1 species